rnacentral:lncRNA from 1 species
AUGCAGUGCAGAUUUUGCAAAUUCACAAGCUCCAGUCAAGAGACUCUUCUGAAACAUUUUCGCCUUCAUCACAGACAAGGUGCACAUUGGCCUUGCAUUCACACAGACUGUGUAUGUGUAUAUAAAACACCUGGAGCAUUACGAUCACACCUCUCAAGAUCACACUCAAUAGUGAAAAUCCACAGAAAUUCAACAUUUCAAUGUGAAUUGUGUGAUUUUAAGGAGAUUUGCAGUGAAAAAACUUUUUGGAACCAUCUUGGACAUCAUUUAAAGAACCGAGAAACUGUACAAUGUCCCUUUCUAAGGUGUACCUUUAAAACAAACAUUCGCCCAACCCUCAGUUCUCACAGAAGUCGAAACCAUAAAAAUUGUACACUUGAGGAUUUUCGAACAAUUGCAAGAACUGUUCCUGAAGAUGAGAUAAUUGAAACUGAGCAAUCUGAUAGUGAAGCAGGAACAUCAGCUUAUGAUAUUGUGAGACCAGAUGAGGUUGAAGAGAUUGUAGAGGAUGUAGAUAGUGAGACACUUGAACACAAAUUGGCUUCUCUCUUUCUGUGUAUGCAAACAGUGUUGCAUGUUUCUCGAGCUGCAACACAAAAGAUUGUAGAGGAUUUGCAUAACCUGCUCUCUUUCUCUAACAUUCAUGCUCUCAAGAGUGUCAAAGAGAUCCUUUCAAAACAUGAAAUUGAAGUAAAUGAUUCUGUUUUGCAAGAAAUUUCUAAUGCUAUAGUUCAAACUAAUCCACUCCUUUUAACAUCGGAGAAAGGUUCCCUAUCUACAGAUCACCGAAGGAAUAUAUAUUUCAAAGAGCACUUUUCUGUUGUAGAACCCACAGAAUAUCUGUACAACACAGCUCAUAAAAACUCUUUUGUUUAUAUAUUUGUCACUAAGAUACUUGAGACUUUACUCAGACGGGCAGAUUUUUUGGACCAAAUUGUAUUUAAUCAAGAAGCUUUAUCUGGACACUGUUACGGUUUAACCCCUUUGAGGGGGGGUUUAACGUAG